rnacentral:lncRNA from 1 species
GGUUGAUUAUACUGAUGUGACUGUGUCUUAGAUAUCCCCUGAGCUAUGCAAACUACAAAUUAAGUUGUAAACCAUGAUUCAUAUCAUUGUUUUAAUAAGGAUUGGCCCAAUGCUUCUUGUGAUAUUCUAUUGGUUGAAUAAAGAUCUAUCUAAUCAUAUGAUUGUGUCUUCAAAAUAUGCUUAACUUACCAUUAACUAUAAGCAUGAUCAUUGCAAAACAUUAAUUGUAAAUCAUACCUUACC